rnacentral:rRNA from 1 species
UCCUACGGGGGGCAGCAGUGGGGGAUAUUGCACAAUGGGGGGAACCCUGAUGCAGCGACGCCGCGUGGGUGAAGAAGCGCCUCGGCGCGUAAAGCCCUGUCAGCAGGGAAGAAAAUGACGGUACCUGAAGAAGAAGCCCCGGCUAACUACGUGCCAGCAGCCGCGGUAAUACGUAGGGGGCAAGCGUUAUCCGGAUUUACUGGGUGUAAAGGGAGCGCAGACGGCAGUGCAAGUCUGGAGUGAAAGCCCGGGGCCCAACCCCGGAACUGCUCUGGAAACUGUGCGGCUAGAGUACUGGAGGGGCA